rnacentral:rRNA from 1 species
GUGCCAGCAGCCGCGGUAAUACGGAGGAUCCAAGCGUUAUCCGGAAUCAUUGGGUUUAAAGGGUCCGUAGGCGGGACAAUAAGUCAGUGGUGAAAGUCUGCAGCUCAACUGUAGAACUGCCAUUGAUACUGUUGUCCUUGAGUAAUUAUGAAGUGGUUAGAAUAUGUAGUGUAGCGGUGAAAUGCAUAGAUAUUACAUAGAAUACCGAUUGCGAAGGCAGAUCACUAAUAAUUUACUGACGCUGAUGGACGAAAGCGUAGGUAGCGAACAGGAUUAGAUACCCUGGUAGUCUACGCCGUAAACGAUGGUUACUAGCUGUUUGGACCGAUUGAGGUCUGAGUGGCUAAGCGAAAGUGAUAAGUAACCCACCUGGGGAGUACGUUCGCAAGAAUGAAACUCAAAGGAAUUGACGG